rnacentral:lncRNA from 1 species
UGAAUAAUCCGUUAAAGGAAUAAUAAUUUUUAAAAAGGAGAUCGACCUCACCCGAAGAGGAUGGCGAACGAGAUUAGGGCUUGAUCUAUUGCCUUUCCAUGGGCUGGCUGAAACGCUGCGGACCGCGACCAGUCUCUUAAAAAGAAGAACAAAAAGAGGAAGACCUUGAGUGGACCCCAGGACAAAGCACUUUGGGCUCGGCAAGAAGGGACGCGCGGGAGCGCUGGCUCGGAACGGGAGUGAUCUCCGGUGCCAAAGAGCGUCCAUCCAGCGUGCGGACGACUGAGGGGAUCCAGCUGCAUUAGACACGAGUGACCUUUUA